rnacentral:rRNA from 1 species
AUGCCGUCGAUUUGUUCCUUAUUUUCUGUUACCCAGCUAGCAUUUCAACCACACCCGACCGGGCUCAAACUUGGUGCUCAACUAGAGGUGUGA